UGCCAUUAGCUGUACCAUACUCAGGCACACAAAAAUACUGAUAGCAGUCGGCGUGUGAAUCAUUAGCCUUGCGACCCUCGGCAGCAAGAACCAUACGACCAAUAUCACGAAAAUAGUCACGCAAAGCAUUGGGAUUAUCAUAAAACGCCUCUAAUCGGUCGUCAGCCAACGUGAGAGUGUCAAAAACGAUAAACCAACCAUCAGCAUGAGCCUGUCGCAUUGCAUUCAUCAAACGCUGAAUAGCAAAGCCUCUACGCGAUUUCAUAGUGGAGGCCUCCAGCAAUCUUGAACACGCAUCCUUAAUACCUUUCUUUUUGGGGUAAUUAUACUCAUC
rnacentral:rRNA from 1 species